AUUACGUUAGUAUAAUUAGUACGUCUGCCUUCCAAGCAGAAAGCUUAAAAAGUCCUAAACGUAAUA
rnacentral:tRNA from 1 species